rnacentral:rRNA from 2 species
UUUGGUGGCGAUAGCGAAGAGGUCACACCCGUUCCCAUACCGAACACGGAAGUUAAGCUCUUCAGCGCCGAUGGUAGUCGGGGGUUUCCCCCUGUGAGAGUAGGACGCCGCCAAG